GGAUAGACCCCUACAUAGAGAACAACGCCGAUUCCGUUGCUUCUUCUUCAUUCCUCUCAUCUGACCACUUCUACUCAUCUUCUCAUCUUCACAGAUAGAUAGAGAGGAAGGGAGGACGAUACAGUGAGAUAGGGGAUCCGGGAAAAGAAAAAUAAAAAGGGGAUGGGAUUGGCCUGAAAUUUCAGCCAUGGACUUCUCUUAGAACACCAUGAACACCACCAUUUUCCGCUCUAAAACUCGAGCUCAAACCAGCCCCAAACCCAUGUAAAAGUGAUGAAAACCCCGUUGAAAUCAUUACACCAAAAAGUCCCCAAAAAAAAAAAAAAAAGCCAUCAACACUUCAAUUUCUCCUCCUAUAAAUCCCUCUUGUGCCUGAGUUUCUCUCGCCGACGAGCUCCAAGGCUGGAACGAGCCGCUGCUAUUUAUUUUUAUUUUUCUGGGUUUUAAAAUAUUGCUAUGGUUGAAAAUUUGCUGCUGCUCCUUGUUCGAAUCUGCUGCUUUUGCCCUGGCUUGUUUGCUGCUGUUGCUCGUUGAAUUUGGAUCCGAAUCUGUGUAUUUGUUGAUUAUUCAACAGUUAUUAAGAAAAUUCGGCCUAACAGAUCCAGGUAUUUGAUCAUUAGUAGCUGUGCGGAUCGUGUUUUGGAGACUCAAGGUAAACAUGUUUCUGCAUUCGCAGGCUUCAAAGUCACCUUCCCAUUUUGUAUUCACACUGUCUUUGCUCUUUUCCAAACAGUUAUAUUUAGAAGUUGGAACAAACUCUAUAAAGUUUAUGACUUGUACCACCGAUUUUGGGAAAAUUGUAAAUUUUGUUGAGAUCUCUAUUUCAAAGACUGUUAGAUGUUAUUUA